UGUGGGUACCUGAUGAGAACAUAUCCAACUCAGUGAUGAAUGCUUUCAUCAAGUGACUUUUCUUAGCAAUCUUUACUCACAGAAAUUAACUGAGUCAAACACAGUUUGCUGUUUGGAACUCUUCCAAUUCACUGCUCCUCUAGUACUUCUCAAGUAUUUUAAGAAUGCUUUUCACAGUUUUCAAAAGAUCCUAUCAUGGAUCUGCCUGAAAUCAAUGACUAUGCACAAGGCAUAAAUCACAUCAGGCUUGGUACAUUGAAUAUGUGGGUAAGUAAACUCUUUUACACCCAGUCAUGUUAAACCCCUUCAAUAUAAAAUCCAUGUACCUAGACCAUGACAAGCCUAACAUCCACUUACAUCUAUUCCUAUAGAUGCC
rnacentral:lncRNA from 1 species